rnacentral:lncRNA from 1 species
UUGAUAUAUUUUAUGCUGGCCAGGAUACUCUCGUCCUAUGCAGGAUAUGUCAAACACGUGCUGACAUCGGAGCAAAAGAAAGGUGACUUUCGGCCAUCGGAAGGAGGAGAUGCCGACUUGUUCAGUUGCACUCAGGUUAGACUGAAUUUUAUAAGUAAAUUCCGCCGUAACGUCUCUUUCAGGAACCCACCUGGCAAUGACGGACGCAGAAAUUUUGCAUUCCCUAUAAGGAACUUCGCUCCUUGGCGUACAGCCUUAU